AGAGUUUGAUUCUGGCUCAGAACGAACGCUGGCAGCGUGGAUUAGGCAUGCAAGUCGAACGUGAAGCCGAUGAACAAUCUUUCGGGAGAGUGAUUCGGUGGAAAGUGGCGGAAGGGUGAGUAACGCGUGGGUAAGCUACCUCGAAGUUGGGGACAACCAGAUGAAAAUCUAGCUAAUACCGAAUGUGGUCCUCUGGCACAUGCCAGGGUGACUAAAGGUGGGGCUCCUUUAUUGGACCUGCCGCUUUGAGAUGCACCCGCGUGCCAUCAGCUUGUUGGUAGGGUAACGGCCUACCAAGGCUUACGGCUAGCCGGCCUGAGAGGGUGACCGGCCACACUGGGACUGAGACACUGCCCAGACUCCUACGGGAGGCUGCAGUCGAGGAUCAUUCGCAAUGCGCGAAAGCGUGACGAUGCGACGCUGCGUGGGGGAUGAAGGCCUUCGGGUCGUAAACUCCUGUCAUGAGGGAAAAGUAUCCCCGCAAUGAAUAGUUGUGGGGCUCGAUGGUACCUCAAGAGGAAGCCACGGCUAACUCUGUGCCAGCAGCCGCGGUAAUACAGAGGUGGCGAGCGUUGUUCGGAUUUACUGGGCGUAAAGGGUGCGUAGGUGUUUUGUGUGUCGGAUGUGAAAGCCCAUGGCUCAACCGUGGAAUUGCAUUCGAAACUGCAGGACUAGAGUGCAGGAUGGGAGAGCGGAAUUCUUGGUGUAGCGGUGAAAUGCGUUGAUAUCAAGAAGAACACCGGUGGCGAAGGCGGCUCUCUGGAAUGCUACUGACACUGAGGCACGAAAGCUGGGGGAGCAAACAGGAUUAGAUACCCUGGUAGUCCCAGCCGUAAACGGUGCACACUUGGUGUGGGGAGAUUUAACCCUCUCCGUGCCGGAGCUAACGCGUUAAGUGUGCCGCCUGGGGAGUACGGCCGCAAGGCUAAAACUCAAAGAAAUUGACGGGGGCCCGCACAAGCGGAGGAGCAUGUGGCUUAAUUCGAUGCAACGCGAAGAACCUUACCAGGGCUUGACAUAUACCUGCAAACCCCGUGAAAGCGGGGAAUCCUUCGAGGGUGGUAUACAGGUGCUGCAUGGCUGUCGUCAGUUCGUGCCGUGAGGUGUUGGGUUAAGUCCCGUAACGAACGCAACCCUUGUGACUAGUUGCCACCGGCGGUGAUGAGCCGCCGAGCACUCUAGUCAGACUGCCCGUACAAGCGGGAGGAAGGUGGGGAUGACGUCAAGUCAGUAUGGCCCUUACGCCCUGGGCUGCACACGUGCUACAAUGGUCGGUACAAUGGGAUGCAAUAUCGCGAGGUGGAGCAAAUCCUGAAAGCCGGCCUCAGUUCGGAUUGAAGUCUGCAACUCGACUUCAUGAAGU
rnacentral:rRNA from 1 species